UCUCGUCAUUAACUGCAACAAAAAAUUGUCGGCAGCCAACCCCUUCAGCACUUCCUAUGAAGAUGUUGCGUGAUCUACCAAGCAGCGAGAGACAUGUGAAGGUUGAAAAUCAGGUUGGAUUCUUUUCCCAACACAGGCCCACUGAUACUAUGAAGAAAUUUAGAGAGAGAGAGAAGGAACUAGAAUGAAGAAUUUCUCAAAUUAUUGAUAUUAAAUCUGUACAUGAGGAUCAUUGCUUAUUUAUACAUUUCUUCCCUAGUUAUUUAUGGAAUGAAAUACAAUCAAAUCAAAUAAACAAUCAAAUCAAAUAAAAUUUGAUCCGUCUAAAUUAAACUAUCCAUAUUUACAAUAUAUUCUAUGAAAGUUAUAGUGUGAAAGCUAUAGUUAUGAAGUUGCUGAUGAUAAAAUAGUCCCCAAAUUUUUUUUUUGUUAGUGAAAGCUAUAUUUUUUUAUUCUAAGAAAGUUUUAGAUUGAUUUGAGAUGUGGUGUUUUUGGGGAUGAAGAGAUUUUUUUUAAUUCCCCGCAAUGAUACUUUCUUUGAAAAGAAAUACAAUCAAAUCAAAUAAACAAUAAAAUAAAAUAAAAUAAAAUCUGAUCCGCCUAAAUUAAACUAUCCAUAUUUACAAUAUAUUCUACGAAAGCUAUAGUGUGAAAGCUAUAGUUAUCCAUAUUUACAAUAUAUUUUGCGAAAACUAUAGUGUGAAAGCUAUAGUUAUGAAGACGCUGAUGAUAAAAUAGUCCCAAAAUUUUCUUUGUUCCGUGAAAGCUAUAUUUUUUCAUUCUACGAAUGCGUUAGAUUGAUGAGAUGUGGUGUAUUUGUGGACGAAGAAUUUUUUUUUUAAAUUUCGCGCGAUGAUACUUUCUUUGACAAGUGUUUUUUUUUUAAAAAAAUAUUCUGAUACAAAACAAAAUUAAUGGAUGGUGAACUUGAAAAGCUGUUCGUAUGUCUAGUAUCUUAUUAGUCCAUAUAAGGAGGAAAGACAUCACAUGUGUGAAAAGUAUGGACAUCGAAGGAUCUAGAAAUAAUUAAAAAAUAAUAAUUUGAUAGAGUGCUUAUUGAUAUAUACAUGUCAUUUUUUUACUUGUUCUUCUCUAUUUUAUUUUAAUGUUGAAAGGCCCUUACUGAGAUGCCCAUGCCCGCCUAAUGCCUGGGCGCUGUACAAUGGGCUGAGCAGCUACUGCCUGAAAUUACUUUUCAAAGCUUGGAUUCACAACUCGAUAUGGUUUAGGGUUUGAAAAUUCAUGAAAAUGAUUCAUGAUACAAACCUCAAUUGGAUAACUUUUUUAUGGACAUCAUUCAUGCUUCUUCUGAUAUUUUCCAAUAUUGUAUGCAUGCUUCUACCCCUUUUCUUGAUGAGCUAUGCUAAUAUUUGUAGAAUGCAUAUGUGUUUUCUUAAGUGAUACAAGUGUCUGCACCAAUUUUCAGUAAUCUUCUCUCUUAUCCACUGCCCAGAUGCUAAUUGUCAUUCAUCUAUCAAUUAUCAACUAUUCUAUUUGUCCUAUAAUCUUUGUGCCCCAUAUAUUUUGUAGCAUUAUACUUGAAUAAUUUAUAUUUCAGAGUGGACCUUUUGAUGAGGCAUUUGCCGGUUGAUUUUCCUGUGCAUGAACUUCAGAAUGUUAUUAUUCGGUUCGAGGAGAUGCAUACUACAGUUGCAAAUAAGGACGAGUAUUUCAGAAAAAUAUCUCAAAGACUUCAGAUAAUUGUGAGUGAGAUUCAACAUCCCAUAUGGCUUGGAGAUAUCAACCAUCCUAUUAACUAGAAUCCUGUAUAUCCAAGCAUGUAGCGUAGAAGUUUUCACUUUCAUCAAGGUUAGGGAUCCUUGACAUGGAUGUGAAUAAUUUUUGCUGGAAAUCAUAGAUCUUUUUUGUUUCCAUUUUUUGUUUUUUGCCCUUUGUAAUCUAAAGCAAAAGGUUUUCUGAGGAUUGAAAGAUUGAUUCUUGUAGGACUCAAAAGCACUAUAGGGGAUGGGAUGAAUAUCGAUCA